AUGAAGGCUUUCUGCAGAGAAAAUGAGCUCUGGAAAAGCACUACAGUCAAUGUCUCCUCACAACAAUCAACCGCCGCCGACACCAAGCCUGGCGAAAAGAAAGAAGAUUCAAGAGAAGUCUGCAAUAAGGAGUCCAACAGACAGUGUGAUGUCCCCAUGUACAAGACAGCUCAUGAAGAAAGCUAUCAAGGACAUGUAAGUAUAAUUAAAAUGUCUCUUGUCAGACAAAUGUUAUUUGUUUUGUUUUUUGUCAUUUGACGUAUGUGGAUUUGACUAAAUGAAGUUGACCCCCGUUCUGUAUCUGGAGUAGGCUGUGUUGUCUAAAUGCCAUUUUUAAAAUGUGUUUAUUCAUGAUUCCAGACCGUCAUCUCCCAGACCCCGACGGGAAGCGAAAGAGAACACUGCAAAUAAAUGAAUGACCUUUUUAUGUACAGUGUGAUGUCUUUACGGUAUUCCUCUCUCUGCUAAGAUGGUCAGAUCAAUCAAUCAUUGACACUUUCCUGACAUUAUAUACCGUCUUUUUAAGAUGU
rnacentral:lncRNA from 13 species